ACACACACACACACACACACACACACACACACACACACACACACAGACACACACACACACACACACACACACACAUGCAUGAGUGACACUGUUUAAUUAACAUCUUCACAGCUACACAUCCCCUCACAUACUAACACACACAAAUGCACAAACAUAUAUACACACACACACAAAUACACUCAUACACAAAUAUAGCUUCACACACAUGCUCACAUGCCCUCAUACACCAGUGCCAUACAUUCUGCUGCAUCAGUAGCUAGAUCUCUCUCUGUGCUUCUCAUCAUGGAGUAACCCCUGUCCUUGGACACUGCCCAUGCAGCCCUGCAAGGGGUCGGGAGGACGGGGGACUAUAGGAACACUGUGAUCUCUUAGUUUAGCUAAGGAGCUCCCUCUACUUCAAGCUUAGUAAUGACUGAUGACUGUGUUCUGUCUUUUGCUUUUGAUUAUGUUGAAUAAUUAAAACGUUGUGAUUAUCUAAUGA